rnacentral:ribozyme from 1 species
AAUAAAUUAAAGUAGUAACAAAACAAAUUGCAUGUUUCUUCUUUUUUAUUACUUUUUUGCUUCGCUCGUUUCCUUCUC